UACAGCUCCUUUGCCAAAAGGUAAAGGCAAAGCAAGUAUUUUAGCAUCAGGCUGUUAUUUGAAAAAAAAUUUAAAAAAAUCCAAAUCCUGCACUUCUAAUAUUUGCUAAAUGAAAUAGAAGACAUGGAAUCUCUUGGGCCAGCUCAGAAUAAACAGCCCAUUAUAGUGUGUAUUACAAGUUCAUUCUAUAUUAAAACAGUAAAUCACUUAAUAACAUGCCCAAAUCAUGCCAUGAAGGCAUUUGACAUUCUAUUUAAAACUAAUUUUGUAUUUAGCGUUCAAUAUGCACAUACAUCAACAAAUUUUUAUAAUUUUGUGGCAAGCCUUUUGUAUAAUGUCAGCACUCCUAGAGCUUGUGUGGACUCUUUAAAUACAUGAUUGAGUAUGAAUUUAUUGCAUUCUGUACAUGCAUUACAUUUCAUAUUUUUAAUGUCAUUUUAUUGUCAUAUUUUCCAUUUUUAUAUAUGUAUAUAUAUGUACAUAUAUUUACUAAUAAAGAGUUUUUCAUGCA
rnacentral:lncRNA from 1 species